UCAAAGACAUGCAUCAGUGAAAAACAGCAGGCACAGCUCCUCUGCUGCUCAUCCCUCCCACGAGUACCGAAUAUUCCAAUUCCAAAUUGUUUUUACCAUGUGACGCGAUAAAGAUCCCCUAUGAUUUCGAAUAUGCACUAAUAGAGAAACAAAAAGAAGGUAAACUGCUCCCAUUGUCUCCUGAGCAGUGAGAAAGGCAAGAAAAAGAGGGAUCCAAUUACCAGGGAUCCCCCGUAGAGGGUACUGAAGAUCAGCCUCUGGUGAGGGAAGGCGAGAGAAGAAAGCGGUUUGCGGAGGAUUGAAGACGACCCUUGGACUGGGGGAAGGACAAGGGGGAGGUAUCCGUUCGUACAGUGUGGAAGAUCGUCCCUCGGAGUCAGAGGGUUCUUCUCGGACAGCUGGCAGCAGCUAGGGGAAGUAAUUUAUUGAAUUUCUAACCGGCCCCACUUUCCCCCCGUCUGUCUGGCCUGGGAGCUAAUAGCUAGCCGCUGCAUUAUGCUUAAUGCCCUCGCUAUCACUUUCGGCUAACAUGGUUUGGCAUACACUUUGGGAAAUCAGAGAGAAUGGGGGUAUUGAUCUUGGUUUUUGGCCUUGUGUAAUGCACGCUGCCGUAAUGCUGGAGAGUGGGUGUGAAGGGCCUUUUCAUUUCAUCAAAUGUUUUUUUGAGUGCCGUUCGUGUCUGCAUUCAAUCAUUCCACUCUUUCUCUCUCUAUCUUUCUAUCUGCAUCUCCUACUCUGCUGCACGUCUUCCCUCUCGCUGUCUCUCUCUCGCUGAGAUGUGAGGCAGAAUGAACUGAUAAAAACGAGGUUGUCUCCUAGAGGCUGCCAUAGCUUCUCUGUUUCUUUCAGCUGUAAAGGAUGGAAAAAAAGGCUUUUUUUCAGAGCCCUCGAGUCAUGUGUCAGGACUUCAAGCAUGAAAGUGAACAUACAUGUGCUGAGCUGAAUGUGGACGUGAAGCCCAACACACACACACACACACACACACACAUAACGUGUGCAGCCUCACAUGUUUCCUCUGCUUAUUAUUGGCGGAAAAUUUCCCAUCUAUCAUCACAUGGAACAGCUACAUUCUUGUAGCAGGGUUACACCAACACUAUGAAUUACCACAAAACUUGAGGCAGCACAGGUCAGGGAAGAGCCCAUUAAAUAUUGUAGUGGGUUUUGGUUAGGGGCCGGCUGUGAGAUUUUUCAACAUUUUCCUCGGUUUCAUAGAGAAUAAUUCAUGGAUUUUGAUGAAAAAAAGAUUAUGGGACCGAUAUUUAUGAAUUUGGUGCAGAUCCAAAUAAAAAUCCCCAUCUAGUGAAUUUAAAUGUGAUUUCAUAUGGGGACUGCUGGGCCUUAGUGAAGGUACAGUAUGAACUGCAGUAUGCAUCAACAUUUUUUUUACUCAGUUACAGAUGAACCUUCACUUCACAGCCACUGAACUUCAUCUAUUGAGUGGCUAUUGGUUGAUAUGAAAAUGUCAUAUUUGAAAGGAUUUCAUAAGAUGUUUUUUCCAUAAACAUCACAUACAGUCAAAGAAAAUGCAAAACAAUGAAAUAAUUUAACUAGAUAUAAAUUCAUAUUUAGUCAACACACAUGAGAGUAGUGUCAGUCUCCUUAUAUGCCUUAAGAGUAAAUAAUUGUGUUUUGUAUCAGGUAAUAUAACAGUAAAUGUGUACAAAUUACAUUAUAUAUCCUGAACUAUUUUAAUAUUUGAAAUAUUCAAUUUGAAAUGAGGAAUAUGGCACAAUGAUGUAUGAAAUGUAAAAUAUUCAAUCAAAAAUUAAAUGUAUCGCCUGCAAACAGCUAAACCUGUUUAAUAAUAUCUUUAUAUACAGGCUACAGUAUAUAUCAUCUACACCUUCCCUCUGCAUGACCUCUGCAUUGUUCUGCAUAUUAUUUGCAGCUGAACAGGCACCUGGGCCGGCGGCAGGGGACAAGCACGGCAGCACCAGAUGAGGCAGCCUCAGGCCAAGGCCACUUGUGGAACUCGCUACUCACUUGAGAGAGUUGGAUCCAUUAUGUGUUUACUGUACUGAAGCUAUGUACUGCAGUGUGUGUGUAUGUGUGCGUGAGAGAGAGAGAGAGAGUGGAAAGAGAUUGCUGGAGGUUGAGGGUGGUGGUGUGGGGGGGGACACUACAGAUGUCCUUGCCCUGAGCUUUUCUCUGCAUGAAAAUCAGCGCCGCUCUGGAGGAAUCGCUGGCACAGGCUGACGUCACAGUAUACAGCAGGAGCGACUCCCGGAGUCAAAUGUGGAGGAUUCAAUCUUAGCUGGGGGAGAAUCCAUGAGCGUCACCGCUGAAGGGGAAAGUGCUGCAGAAAGACAAGAUACUGCAGGGACCAUCGGCAAAGAAGGGGGCCAUCGGAUGAGACUGAGCUAACCUGAUGAGGAGAACCAGCCCGAGAGGGAGCGAUGUUCGAAGGGCUCCCUUCCAGCAUUUUCCCUCUUUAUGUUGAGUAACUGGAGGCAAAUACACUGGAACUCUUAAUUAACCAUCCUGUUUCCUUUGCCUAGAGCCUCCACCAGCUGGAGCACAGUUUGAGCUGCAUAUUGAUCAUUGGGCUUUAAAGAAAUAUAAAUAA